rnacentral:lncRNA from 1 species
GUAAUGUGUAUCCUAGGUUGGGGAUUGCGAAUUAACCACAAACCAAUAUACCAAGGCAGUUAUUAACAGAUUAAUACGAACGUAGGUUGACAUUUUUAUUCGUCUGAACUUAUAAAUUGAAAGGGAUAACACUGACAAAAAAACUUUCACAUAUUUUAUCACAUAGCAAGGUUGCUUUUCGAGAAAUUUGACAUAAGUGUAAAAAUAUAUCCAUGAAUGAUGAUUGUUGCUUCAUUUGUUAUGUGAUGACUAAAUGGAUCUAGUAUAACAGAAGCUAUAUAGAUUGACAACGUAUGUUGAAUGAUGACGACAUAAUGGUUAAGAAUACUAAAUACAGAAAACAUUAUGCACAUUGUAAUGUUACCAUAAAUAAUAAAAUAUGAGAUGAAGCACACACAUAGCUUCAAUGAUAAUGAUAACCUCGCAACAAAUCCACCCUGUACUUUUGAGGUACGUGUUCGUUUCAUACAGAAAUAUAUAAAAGCUUACCUGAACUUGAACAUGUUGAAAUUAUAUAAUAAUUAAACUAUCACUAAAUGAUAUUGACCUAAAUGUCAUUUCCUUUUGUCUUUUUUCAUAGCAAAUCAAUUCAAAUGAUUUCAAAAGUUACUUUACGACGCCAUUAUGAAAUACACAAUAUCGAAAGUAGAAUCAGAUGUACUGAUGCACCUUGGGAGUGUCAGUAAUCAGCCGUAAAUUCGUAAAUCAAAAUCUUUAUUGGCAUUUAACUUAGUUCAUUAAUCAUUAAAAAAUUCAUGAAGCACCAUUAUAGGUUUGUGUCGAUAAAUUAAGCCAAAUAUUGAGAGUUUUGGUAUACUGAGUGUGAUGAGGGUCUUGUUUUGGUCAAAGACAGAGUUAUGGAAUAUCAGUGUGAUAAAGCGCGGAUUAAUUGCAGUUUAUUUCCAAACCCACUGACAGUAUUUUUUUUAUGUGAAAUUAUGACAAUAUGGAUAUUUAACCGAUUUAAAAAAAAAUUCGUUUAAGACAGGGCUAUGAAUCAAUCAAAUUAAGGUCAUCACUCAAGAAAUUUUACGGUCGCCAUCAGGAGCUGAUUGGCCAUUAUGACAAAAGUGUGUCAGAAAUCAUAUCUGAUAUUCUUCCUCAGUCAUAAUAACCUUCUAUCAUUACCGAACAAUGAUAUAACACGACGGGUGCUGUAUACGAUGCAGGAAAUGCUUACCCUUCCGGAGCACCUGAAUUCACUCCCGGUUUUUAGUGGAGUUCGUGUUGUUUCUUAUUUAUUACUUAUAACUGUUGAUGUAAAUGUCCUUUGUUUUUUUUUGUCUUUGUUUACUCCUUGGUUUUGAUUGUUAUUGUCUUAUUUAAGGCUUAUUAUAGUGGGAAUAAUGUCAGCAUUUCUAAACUAAAUACGAAAAACAUUCCAUUCUAUGCUAUUGACACUAUUUGUAUGUUGGUAUGUGAUACUUAAUUUACUUAUCUUAAUUGACCGUUUCGAGCUCACUUUAAAUUAUACGUUAAGUUCGAGAUUAAUCUUAUUUAUUAUGUACUAAUUCGCAAAUGAAAGAACUUGAAUAUAAUUGCAUGAAAUUGUUAUGGGUUUAUUUGGAGAGUCUCGCUUUAUAUAGUUUAUUUUAUGUUCAAUUUUGAUUCAAAAACACAAAACAAGUUUAUAAAUUAAACUUUAAAAGUAUUUGAAUACAAAUACACAAGUAUUUUAGUGGCACGAACACAACUAAAAGAAAUGACAAUUUGAGAAUAUUAUCACAACGUAUAAUAUAAUAAUGGAAAAAAAUAAAAUGUUAUAAUUUCGAGGAUGAAAUCCCAUUUCCAUAAUCUAGACAUUUACGUUAGGUUUAGUCACUGUCAGGACAAUUAAACAAUUACUACUAAUGUUACAUUACAUAUUUACUAGAUUUUUCAAAUUUAAAACCACAUAAUAAUUUCAUCACAAAUCUCUUUCGAGUGAUCAGACAUAGACAAGUAUUCGACACACGUAAUGUAUGCCCCUCCUGAGGUUAUCAAAUGAAGUGUUUGCUGAGAACAGAUUUAACCUUUGAAUUAAAAAAUAUAUGAUUAGAAUGAUUUAUGAUAUUUUGUAACAAGGAUAGAAAUAGAGUUGUCAAAUGAACAAAACAUAUAAUUAAGUUCUGUCAAAUUUUGAAUCUCUUCUUCUAUAAGUAUGAUUAAAGCGGAUUACUGAAAUCUUUUAAAAAAAAUUGAAAUACUAAGGCUUUUCUACCUAAUAAAUAGAUAACCUGAGCUGUAUUUGACAAAAUUUUUAGGAAUUUUUGGUACUCAAUGCUCUUCAAUUUUGUACUUAUUUGGCCUUUUCAAUUUAUUUUGAUUCGAGUGUCACUGAUGAGUCUUUUGUAGACGAAACGCGCGUCUGGCCCAAAUAUUAAUCAUGGUAUCUGUGAUGAGUUUAUUUACAACUGAACACUUUCACAAUACAAAUUCCAAAGAUGAAACACCAUAAUUGCAGUUUGAUUAUAUCUGUAAAAACUCGUCAACUUGGUAAAACAGUUAGUAUAAUGUGACUGCCAUACAAGUGAGAGGUUAAGCUAGUUAUAAAACCAGGUUCAAUCCACAAUUUUCUACUUAUGAAAGUCCUAAUGAGACUACCAGUUCUAUAGAUAAUUGUUGACUAAUAAGCCAGCUUAGUAUAUUUCAAAUUAUUACAUGUUUUGUUUAUUUUUCAGCCUUCUACCGACCCUUCUUUAGCAGGUGUGAGUAAAAUAAUGUAUCUUCUUAUAUAUCUUAUUUAUACAUUUAAUCAGGAUCUAUAAUGUUGUAGUCGAAAGAAAAAAAUGGGGAGAGGGAUUCAAGCAG